GUUAUUAAUAAUGUAUCAUUUUCUUUCAAAAAUAUGAGUUAUUAGUAAAAUCGGACCAACUGAAUAUUAUCAUGGUUGGUCCAGCCUAUGAUUUUGGUUGGACCAAGCCGUAACCAUGUUGGUUGCUAGGACCAGCUUAGUAUGUGUACAGUUUUCUUUGCGCGUUGACAGUAGGCACCUUACCAAUUUUGGGAUCUCAAUUAUUAUCUCCAAAAAUAAUCUAAAGUCACUGAAUCAGGAAUUUGCUACGUAACGAGAUGCUCACAUGGAUUUGGGAGACUCCGGGUAUUGUGCGCUUCGCAGAUCAAGCUUAAGGAGCACUCGUUUUCGUCCUAUUGAGGAAUAUUGGAUUUACGGAUGAUUUCCAAAAUGCCCAGCUGUGGAUUGGGCACCAAGCGUAAUAUGCCAGCUUUCCCACUUCCUCUAAAGUUGAUUUUUGAAUAGGCCCUUCACUUCAAACUUUGCUCAGGUCACGCAGCCACACACCGAUUACUACUUUACUUGAUGUGACUUUCGAUCGAUAGCGCUAAAAAAUGUGUUGAUAUUGCUA